rnacentral:rRNA from 1 species
AAUAGAUACCCCGGUAGUCCAUGCCGUAAACGUUGGGCGCUAGAUGUGGGGACCAUUCCACGGUUUCCGUGUCGCAGCUAACGCAUUAAGCGCCCCGCCUGGGGAGUACGGCCGCAAGGCUAAAACUCAAAGGAAUUGACGGGGGCCCGCACAAGCGGCGGAGCAUGCGGAUUAAUUCGAUGCAACGCGAAGAACCUUACCAAGGCUUGACAUAUACGAGAACGCUCUAGAAAUAGAGAACUCUUUGGACACUCGUAUACAGGUGGUGCAUGGUUGUCGUCAGCUCGUGUCGUGAGAUGUUGGGUUAAGUCCCGCAACGAGCGCAACCCUCGUUCUAUGUUGCCAGCGGUUCGGCCGGGAACUCAUAGGAGACUGCCGGGGUCAACUCGGAGGAAGGUGGGGAUGACGUCAAAUCAUCAUGCCCCUUAUGUCUUGGGCUUCACGCAUGCUACAAUGGCCGGUACAAAGGGCUGCAAUACCGUAAGGUGGAGCGAAUCCCAAAAAGCCGGUCUCAGUUCGGAUUGAGGU